GAUGAACGCUGGCGGCGUGCCUAAUACAUGCAAGUCGAGCGAACGGACGAGAAGCUUGCUUCUCUGAUGUUAGCGGCGGACGGGUGAGUAACACGUGGAUAACCUACCUAUAAGACUGGGAUAACUUCGGGAAACCGGAGCUAAUACCGGAUAAUAUUUUGAACCGCAUGGUUCAAAAGUGAAAGACGGUCUUGCUGUCACUUAUAGAUGGAUCCGCGCUGCAUUAGCUAGUUGGUAAGGUAACGGCUUACCAAGGCAACGAUGCAUAGCCGACCUGAGAGGGUGAUCGGCCACACUGGAACUGAGACGCGGUCCAGACUCCUACGGGAGGCAGCAGUAGGGAAUCUUCCGCAAUGGGCGAAAGCCUGACGGAGCAACGCCGCGUGAGUGAUGAAGGUCUUCGGAUCGUAAAACUCUGUUAUUAGGGAAGAACAUAUGUGUAAGUAACUGUGCACAUCUUGACGGUACCUAAUCAGAAAGCCACGGCUAACUACGUGCCAGCAGCCGCGGUAAUACGUAGGUGGCAAGCGUUAUCCGGAAUUAUUGGGCGUAAAGCGCGCGUAGGCGGUUUUUUAGUCUGAUGUGAAAGCCCACGGCUCAACCGUGGAGGGUCAUUGGAAACUGGAAAACUUGAGUGCAGAAGAGGAAAGUGGAAUUCCAUGUGUAGCGGUGAAAUGCGCAGAGAUAUGGAGGAACACCAGUGGCGAAGGCGACUUUCUGGUCUGUAACUGACGCUGAUGUGCGAAAGCGUGGGGAUCAAACAGGAUUAGAUACCCUGGUAGUCCACGCCGUAAACGAUGAGUGCUAAGUGUUAGGGGGUUUCCGCCCCUUAGUGCUGCAGCUAACGCAUUAAGCACUCCGCCUGGGGAGUACGACCGCAAGGUUGAAACUCAAAGGAAUUGACGGGGACCCGCACAAGCGGUGGAGCAUGUGGUUUAAUUCGAAGCAACGCGAAGAACCUUACCAAAUCUUGACAUCCUUUGACAACUCUAGAGAUAGAGCUUUCCCCUUCGGGGGACAAAGUGACAGGUGGUGCAUGGUUGUCGUCAGCUCGUGUCGUGAGAUGUUGGGUUAAGUCCCGCAACGAGCGCAACCCUUAAGCUUAGUUGCCAUCAUUAAGUUGGGCACUCUAAGUUGACUGCCGGUGACAAACCGGAGGAAGGUGGGGAUGACGUCAAAUCAUCAUGCCCCUUAUGAUUUGGGCUACACACGUGCUACAAUGGACAAUACAAAGGGCAGCGAAACCGCGAGGUCAAGCAAAUCCCAUAAAGUUGUUCUCAGUUCGGAUUGUAGUCUGCAACUCGACUACAUGAAGCUGGAAUCGCUAGUAAUCGUAGAUCAGCAUGCUACGGUGAAUACGUUCCCGGGUCU
rnacentral:rRNA from 1 species